UAAGGCCUUUCGGGGUACACGAGCGGCGAACGGGUGAGUAACACGUGGGUGAUCUGCCCUGCACUUCGGGAUAAGCCUGGGAAACUGGGUCUAAUACCGGAUAUGACCUCCUGUUGCAUGACGUGGGGUGGAAAGAUUUAUCGGUGCAGGAUGGGCCCGCGGCCUAUCAGCUUGUUGGUGGGGUAAUGGCCUACCAAGGCGACGACGGGUAGCCGACCUGAGAGGGUGACCGGCCACACUGGGACUGAGACACGGCCCAGACUCCUACGGGAGGCAGCAGUGGGGAAUAUUGCACAAUGGGCGAAAGCCUGAUGCAGCGACGCCGCGUGAGGGAUGACGGCCUUCGGGUUGUAAACCUCUUUCAGCAGGGACGAAGCGCAAGUGACGGUACCUGCAGAAGAAGCACCGGCUAACUACGUGCCAGCAGCCGCGGUAAUACGUAGGGUGCAAGCGUUGUCCGGAAUUACUGGGCGUAAAGAGUUCGUAGGCGGUUUGUCGCGUCGUUUGUGAAAACCAGCAGCUCAACUGCUGGCUUGCAGGCGAUACGGGCAGACUUGAGUACUGCAGGGGAGACUGGAAUUCCUGGUGUAGCGGUGAAAUGCGCAGAUAUCAGGAGGAACACCGGUGGCGAAGGCGGGUCUCUGGGCAGUAACUGACGCUGAGGAACGAAAGCGUGGGUAGCGAACAGGAUUAGAUACCCUGGUAGUCCACGCCGUAAACGGUGG
rnacentral:rRNA from 1 species